GCUUUGGCCAUCGGGGUUAUUGUCACUGUCGUGGUUGUCGUGGUUGUUGUUGUUCCUUCGGUACUUCUGACUCAAAAAGCCGAGUUCAGGGAAACAUUCAUGAAGAAGUGUUUGGAGUUUCCAAAGGAAAAACAUAUCUGUGAAACUAUUUGGCCUAACUUUGAACAGGCCUACGUAGGAAAGGAGAAAUGUAACUUUUCUGACCAAAACUAUGAUCAACUCUUGGCUGAGACCCCCUUCAAGCAUCCAUGUGGCAAAACGAUGUUCUGGAGCAAAACGAAGGAUUUGGUCCAUAAGUUCACCAAGAAGAGAGAUUGCUUCUUCACCUUGGAGGACACUUCGUUGGGAUAUGUGCUGAAUGGACUGAGCUGGUGUGGGGAAAAGGGAAACAAUGAAACAUUCACUGAGAAUUGUGAAGACUGCCUGCCCAACCCUGUUAGCUCAUUCUGGAAAAUAGCCUCCACCAGGGUAAGUAUCCAGAAGCAAAAUCAAUAGUUUGACCAAAAAAUACACCGAUUUGGUUAGUGACAUGUAUGACGGUGUGUGUGUGUGUGUGUGUGUGUGUGGUUUGCACAAUAUGCCUGUGAGGGAGCAUCAGUAAUGCUUGAUGGUGAGAGAAAAGAGCCAUACGAUUCUAACAGUUUCUUUGGAAGUGUAGAGGUUCCAAAUCUUCAACCACCCAGAGUAAAGAACCUCACUGUGGUUCUGGUCACUGAGGAGAUUAGGGCCUGUACCUGUGAAUCCCUCGGGACUUUAAGGAAGGACCUGGAUCAAAGAAUAGGUUGUGCCUGCAAAGCAGUGACUAAUACGUCUCUUGUUUCACUGUAGAUCACGUGUGGAGACGUGCAUAGAAGACAACACGCCAUGUGGAGCCUGCUGGUGAAGGCCUAAAUGUCAAACUACAAUGUUAGCCAAAAACAAUAUGAAGCAGCUUAAAAGAAAUGUAAUUAAAUCAUUUUUUCAUUCCUACACAAUUUAUUAAAGUGCUAUUAUAUGUCUUGUAGAUUCAGUUUUUGGGGGUUCACGAUCCAUGUAUGUCUCAAAAUCGUUUAAAAAUAUAUAUUUAUCUUUCUUUUUAUGAAUCAUUCUUGCUUUGACUGUUCAACUGAUGAGCUCACUUCUGAUUUUGUGGCAUUGAAAUAUUUAAAUAAAAGUGUCUUAUGAAA